rnacentral:rRNA from 1 species
CCUACGGGGGGCAGCAGUGAGGAAUAUUGGUCAAUGGCCGGAAGGCUGAACCAGCCAUGCCGCGUGAAGGUCAGUGCCCUAUGGGCGUUAAACUUCUUUUGUGCGGGAGCAAUAAUGGUCACGUGUGGCCAGACGAGAGUACCGUACGAAUAAGCAUCGGCUCACUCCGUGCCAGCAGCCGCGGUAAUACGGGGGAUGCAAGCGUUAUCCGGAUUUAUUGGGUUUAAAGGGUGCGUAGGCUGUGAGGUAAGUCAGCGGUGAAAUGCCCCCGCUCAACGGGGUGAAGUGCCAUUGAUACUGCCUGGCUGGAAUGCGGAUGCCGUGGGAGGAAUGUGUGGUGUAGCGGUGAAAUGCAUAGAUAUCACACAGAACACCGAUUGCGAAGGCAUCUCACGAAGCCGCGAUUGACGCUGAUGCACGAAAGCGUGGGUAUCAAACAGGAUUAGAUACCCUAGUAGUC